rnacentral:rRNA from 1 species
ACGAACGCUGGCGGCGUGCUUAACACAUGCCAGUCGAACGGAAAGGCCCUGCUUUUGUGGGGUGCUCGAGUGGCGAACGGGUGAGUAACACGUGAGUAACCUGCCCUUGACUUUGGGAUAACUUCAGGAAACUGGGGCUAAUACCGGAUAGGAGCUCCUGCUGCAUGGUGGGGGUUGGAAAGUUUCGGCGGUUGGGGAUGGACUCGCGGCUUAUCAGCUUGUUGGUGGGGUAGUGGCUUACCAAGGCUUUGACGGGUAGCCGGCCUGAGAGGGUGACCGGCCACAUUGGGACUGAGAUACGGCCCAGACUCCUACGGGAGGCAGCAGUGGGGAAUAUUGCACAAUGGGCGGAAGCCUGAUGCAGCAACGCCGCGUGCGGGAUGACGGCCUUCGGGUUGUAAACCGCUUUCGCCUGUGACGAAGCGUGAGUGACGGUAAUGGGUAAAGAAGCACCGGCUAACUACG